CAGAACCCAGCAAAAUAAGGUUAUAGUUUCUGCCUGGUCUUUCAGAAUAAUAAUUAACAGUAGUGCUCUGAUCUCUUUGAACUAUUUUAAUGAGGAAAUGCCAAAGUAGGUGUGAACUAUGGAAUCUCUGAACGGGAGCACCUGGCAAAGGUCACCUUUAAAUUGAAGCACAAACCUAUUCCUUUGGGUUAAGUUGGUGCUUUGGUCUUACUGCAGAAGGCAGCCCUGCUGGUGCCGAUCCAUUGGGGCUCUGAACAUCAGAAUGGCACUGGGCCUCCAUGAAGUUCCUUAAGGAGGACAACAGAGGAAUGUUGGAUCCUAUGUGGCUGAUGUGUGGAUGUGAUAUUCAGAAAGCUAAUCCUUGACAGCAACAAAUUGGAAGUUCCUGGGCUUGCAAAUAAAUGUGGGUAUUUUCAUCAGACCUUCAUAUUUUCUUCAGUAACUGUGAAAUCAAAAGCACUUCUAAAAAUCCAUCGAGAACACUUUGGAGUCGUGGGGAAUAUCCAGGUUGGUCUGCUAGAAUUACUGGAUGGAAGAGACAGUGGAAAAUAAUAGUUGGCCACACUGGUCUCAGGAAAACAGGGCGGAAAUGGGUAAAGCCAUUAUGAAAACCAAUUUACCCUAGAAACCUGUAACUACAUAGGCUUUUUUUUAUUGUUAUUUCUGAACUCAGAGCUCUGUGUGAUUAAUGGAUCAAACAGUGUAAGCUAGACCUGAAAUGUCUGUUCGAAAAUAUUAUGUUAAAUGCUCCUGCUCAUUUGCAUACUGUCUGCCUGUUAAUAAAGUCACAGGAGAGGAAGAAAGCUGUAGAACUGUCUUAUCUGUACAAAUAACACCUUGCAUUUUGGAAACAGAGUGAUCUGCUUUGGAGGCCUCUGCUGCAGUAUUAGAUGACCACAGAGGACGCUGCUUUCAAAAGCAACACAGCUGAGCCUCCUGCCAGAGCUCUGCUCUGUAGCACUCACAUUUAGUGCUGGACAAACCAACCUAUGAUGUGUUUCCCAUGGUGCUGUGCAACCCCUCUGAGCUCCAGCAAGGAGGAUUUAAAAAGAAAUAGAGCAAAAGACAAGGACAGAUUUAAUGAGGGUUUUUGCUGUGCAAAGUCUAUGGCAUGAGGGCCAAAAUAAUGGGGAAGGAAUAGGUUGGUUUGCACAAGGCAGGCACUGUGCUGCUGCACCACUUCACCCUGCUAAUGCUGUACAAUGGGAUUCUGCUGAAACUCGGAUGUUGGCGAGCUCUGCUCUGGCUUCCUGCACAAAGACAAAUGUUAUGCUACUCUCAAGUAUGCCUGGAAUGUAAUUCUGCUGCCCUGCCAUUCAUUUGUGGUGCCUUUUCACAUUUGUGCUAAUGAGAGUUCUUUUCCAGAACUCCAGAAACACUUGGGUGAUGUUCGCACUGUGAAAUAAACAUUUAUUUGUGGUUUGGAAAGUUUUCCACUGCUUGGUGCUUUUUGCUUUUCAGAGCAAAAUUUUUCAGUGAAUGGGGCUGUGAUCCAGUUCUGACUGCAGAAAGUAAACAGUUUCUCUGCUGUGAAGAUCAGGAGGCACUGGGAACUUCUCAGGAAGCUUCUUUUCCCAAGAGAUCCUCAUUGGUGUUCACAUCACAGCCUCUUCCCAAGGAUGAGGUUCCCCAUCCCUCCCUCAGGUACAGAGCUCGCUGCAUCCUGCCCUCAGCUCCCCAUCAGCCCCGGGCUGAGCACUGGUGACCCUUGUGGCUGUGGUGCUCUUUGCUUACUGUCAUCAAGGUUGGGAAAGACCUCGAGGAUCUCCAAGUCCAAGCAUCAAUCCUAAGCGUUCCUCUUCUCCAUUUCUGAGCCCAGGACUCUCUGGCACCUCAGCCCAGCAGAGCGGAAGCAGCAAUGAUCUGAGAAAAAUAAAGUAUAUUUUGCAGUCAGAGCUUAGGGAGGAAAAGAGAAAUCAGAUGAGGCUUCCUGGAGCUCCACAAUCUCUUGAAAAUAAAUGAACAGAUUGCCAUGAAUGAAUAAACUGCUUCAGACGCUAAUUCACAUUCAGGAGGCCGCGGAGCUGAGGGUACCAGUGAAGAUGACAGAAACAUUUCCCUCUGAUUGUUCCUGCAUCGCGCCGUCUCAUUGCUGAAGGUAGCAAACAGAAGAUAGCCGUGCUCUGCACACAAACCGCUCGGCACAGAUGGCUCCGGGUGCGUCUGUCGGCUGCGAGCUCAGUGCACAUUGCUGCCCAUGGAAACUGCAGCACUGCCUCAGGAGAGGAAAAGUGGGGAAAUUCAGUCAGUAGCAACCAAAGGGCAAUGAAUCUCAUGGCCUGCAGGUGAGUGCUCAGGCACCGCGCGUGCCAUGGUGGCGAUGGCAGAAGGGAUCGAUGCCCUGUGCCUGUCUCAGCAUGGGGCUGUGCAGUGGGGAUGCCUCAGCCCCAUUGAGCCCUGAGGGAGCAGAGGGGUCCCACUGCCUGUCCCCAGCUGGAUAAAUGUAGCACAGAAAGGUCAGGCUGUCACAGAAUCACAAAUUCAUUCAGGUUGGAGAAGGGCAGUUCUAAACUGUUCCUUAUUUGAUCUGAUGCAGCUCUGGAAAUUGGGUAGUUUGACAGAGCUGGGGUUUUUUAGAUGAGCCAUCUCUAUCAGCAUUUUCAAGUGGUGUUUUGGUAGAUUCCCUGAGACGUCAAAAUGGACAGACUGCAAAAAUCUGUGCAAAAGUAAAAACCUGUUAUGGAAAUCCUUGAGUUAAGCUGCGUUCAGCAGAGCAAUUUAUGAAUAUGCAAUUCAGGCUGUACCUACUGGGCAUGUAGGUUGCCAUUGCUUUUAGCUUUCAUGUGCGGACAGUCUCAUUCAGCAGAAUGACAUUUUGACAUCCAGAAAUGACUAGCUCUCACCACCUAACAAUAGAUGAAGUCAAAUUUUGCUACAACUUAUACCUUUGCAGCAGCUAACGCUUCUAUUUGCUUAGGGAUGGUCAAGGAGAGAUGCUCAUUGAUGCAUUUAGUAGAGAAUGCUGAUCACACACCAAUUAAAGUUACCUGUGUGUAAUGGCUUCCACACAGCUGACAGUGAUGGGAGCUCAGGCACUGACACAGGAGGUGCUCGCCUUGCUGUCUGUAUAAAGCUGACCUUCCAGAGGAACCUUGGAGCUGCUGGGCCUUGUCUUGCAGGGAAUCAUCAAGCAGGUAGGCUGAGGGUAAAUAUGUGGCAGUGAGUGUGGAGAUGCUCAGGUGCCUGUUGUGCACAACCACAGCUUGAGGCUCAGUCAAGUUUGCCAAACUAUUGUACUGAGAUUUAUAAGACAAGCAAUUGUACUGUAACCAAAGCAGUGCUAUCAGUUACUGCCUGCAGAGAUGAAUAACGCGUGGCUGGUGGUCUGCAGCCUGUAGGGCUGCCUUGUCCCUGUCCUGAUGCCAGCAGCCUUGUGUUGCUGCCUAAAAAAAACCUGUCUUAUGGUAUGUGUUCUCCAGGUUUGUUACUACUUGUUCUUUUGGACUGGAUUUUGAUGUUUGCAUAUAAAAUACAGGUUACUUAUUCCUGUGGCUUUUGCUGUGUUUUCCAGUGGCUGAAUGAUAGGCUUGCUUUGUUUUGACUGGGAGAUGUGUGGUUUCAUUUCCAGAUGGUAUGGUCCAGAGUGGGAACAGUGGGGCGCUACAGAAUCUGUAGAGGUUUGGUACUGCAAAGUAGUUACAGUUCUGGUUUAGGCACAAGGCACGUAAAAGCCUGUAUGUAGCCCUGCAGGUACAGGAGGUGCCCACAUGUAGAGGGAUGGGUUGUGCUUCGGCCAUGUGGGUAAUGAGAGAGGAAUUCAGUCCCAGGGAAACUCUGAAAUGUAUUUGAGUUGGGCAAAAACAGUUCCUUCUCUCUUGACUGUGCAGCUUAGGUGUUCUAAUUUGGACCAGGUGGAAACUAUUUCUCUUCAGCUGAAAAGUCAUUGCAGCCAACAGUAGUGAAAGCUCUUCUGAGCAAGGACCAAGAACUGCUGUGAUCUAUCAUUCCUCUUGCCAUGAGCAAAAUGCGUGAUGCCACACUCUGAUUGUGAGAGUGAUCUGAUAGGGAUAGGCCUCCUGGAGCUGAGGACUCUGCUGAAAAGAACAUGGCAGAAAAAACAUCCCUCCACAAAUGGGGGCAAAGCAUUGCAUGGACACUCAGUGUUCCUUCAGGAGAAAAUAGGAGGAAAAUUCAGCAGGAGUGCCAUCAUCUAAGAGGUUUCCUCCUUGCCUGUGGGAUGCUGAUCAUGUAUUAAAUACUGAGGGAGGUUUGGUGACUGCUUAGAUGCAGGUAACAGUGAAACAACGUGAGAAGUAGUUUGAGAGGAUCAACCUUCCUGUAGCUUUUAUUUUCAGCUUCUGGCAGUCAGUGGUAUGGGAGUUUCUUGGCCAUUGGAUUUAAUAGUCAUCAGUGGACCAAUCCUCCUCAAAUCUCCCUGAAUCACUUUUGAAGCCAGUAAUACCUUGGUGUUACCUGGUGCCGGUAAGUUGCAUACAUUUCAUUAUCUGCUAGCUGAAAAUGCCUCUAACUUGUGUUAAACUUCUUUGAAGAUCCUUCUGGUAUUCACUCUCCUUGAGAGUGGAAGGCUGUGUGUGUAAGUGGCGUAUAGAGGUCGCUGAAGGCUGGGAGAGCAAAGAAAAAGCGCGGUCCCAAAGGAGGUGGUGGGUGGAAGUCUUCCCUUUUCCUUAAAUUGAGUGCAUGCAGAGCUUUCCAGCUCAACUCUGGAGGAUAUCCAAGAAGCACAGCAGCUAUUUUACUUAAACUGUUUUCUUGAACAGCUGCCUACUUGUGAGAGUCCCUCUGCAUUUAUUUUCUGUCUUUAUAUUCCUCUGGUAAUAGAAUAUAGUCAUUUAGACUUGAAUAGAAAAGGAAUUAAAAGCCUGGAGUAUACGCAGGUAUGGGUUUUCUUGGUACUUUUCUGUUGUUGCUGAGGGUAGUUGAAUUUAACUCCUAAUUACAUGGGAGAAUUUUGCAGACUAAGCAACGCUGAUGGUUUAAAGUAAAUUCCUAUCUGGCAAUUUGAAACAGUUCUGCAGCCUUGUUUAGGGGCACAGAAGAUCUUCAGUGUCUGAUAAAGACAGACAAGUUUUACUUGAAUUUCAGUGUGCUCUUUUGCAACCAAGGUGUUAAUAUUUCUAUGUACCUGACUAUCACAGUGAAUGUUGUGUAAGAGCAUUAAAUGUCACUUUCAUGCCUUUAUAAAAUAUCUG
ensembl:lncRNA